GGGCGGGGCGGGGGCACGGGGGGCCUACGGGAGGCAGCAGUGAGGAAUAUUGGUCAAUGGACGCAAGUCUGAACCAGCCACGUCGCGUGAAGGAAGACGGCCCUACGGGUUGUAAACUUCUUUUGUAAGGGAAUAAAGUGAGUCACGUGUGACUUUUUGCAUGUACCUUACG
rnacentral:rRNA from 1 species